CAAAAUCAGAAAUAAUGUACAGUGAUUACCCAUGCAAUUCAGAAAACACCAUUCACAGCUUUUCCCUUCAUAUAAACUUUUCUUCCCUGUCUACUGCAGUUUUGUACAUGCAAGUAAAAAAACAUGAAUCUUUGCACAUGAUUCAAGACAUUACAGAAUACAGUAUAAUGGGAGAAAAUAUAUAAAUAAUAUAGAAAAAAAAUACCCAACACAGGGGCAGAUCCAGCCAUUUUUUAAAGGGAAAUUCCAACCCAGGAGAAAGGGGUACAGGGGUGGGAUUUCUAAAUAUAUGUCCCCAUUCUGACCCCCACCGCCACCACUAACAAAAUAAAGAAUAGAGAAUUAUAUAUAUUCAUUGGUUGAUCCAGGGGGG
rnacentral:lncRNA from 1 species